rnacentral:lncRNA from 1 species
GGACGGUACAGGAGGUCCUUAUGGGGGCAUUGCUUUAGCAUCCCAUCCUUCAACCCCUAGAAUUGAGGAAGGAGGAACCAGUCUCUGAGCUGUGCGACCCCCAAACUGCUGGCUUCUCCGACCUCAACUGUGUUGUGGAACCGCCAGGGGGCGGCGCGACCCUGUUGGUCGCCAAGGGGAUCUCCGUGCUUCCUCGUCGAGGCUGUCUGUGACCUGUCGCUUCCAAUGCCUGGUCCUUGCAUGGCCAACGACCUCUACCCUCUCCCAGAGGCCUUAAGCUUGUAACCUGUCCCCUCCUGGACUGUGAAAAGAACAUAUAGCCCGACCUCCCUGCCAACAAGCUGUACCAUUGGGAAGAGGAGAGCCCAACGGUAGAAGCUCAUCAAUGAUUCCCAGCCUCUGUUUCCAUCAGAAUUGCUUGAUGAAGCUCCUUUAACACAAAUAGAUUUACUCACAUUCCUUAACUGUAAAAGGUGUGCAUGUGCCAGCAGGGGGUUCUGGAAUCAUGUACCUUUGUCAGAGCUCCCCCAUUUAAUUCUGAUACAAUUCCACGUAUUACCUAAAGAGAACCACUACUGAUGCGUUGGGUUUUUGUUUGUUUGUUUGUUUGUUUUGGUUGAAUGUGGUAGCUCAGCCCUGGGUAUUUGCCCUUGUGAAUAUGCCCAUGUCACAAAUGUGUGAAUGUUGGGUAUCUGUGUGAUUGGAUAAGCAUUGCUUUUUGCUUCUCUUUGUGCACCCUCUCUGUCUGGAUGUCACUGGGUACCCAUCGUCCUGUGUGUCAUCAAUGUCGCCUGUGUUUAUUGACAGUACCUAUUGUGUGCGCGUGACAGUGUACAUGCCUGCUCUGAUGAGAGUGAGUGUGGGUCUGUGGUAUGUUUGUGUCACAUUGAGCACAUCUCUGUGGGCUCCAUGGUGGGGCACAGCCAUUGUCUCCAUGUCAUUGAGAAUAUGUGCUGGCAAGAGCUUGUGACACAAAUGGAACUAAGCCGAUCUGCCCCAGAAGCAAAGGCGGCAAUGACCUUCUUUUUCCAAUUAUAUCCUGGUCAGAGGUGAGCGACCUCUCCCCACUGAGGCCUCUGGCUGCUUGUCAUGCAAACCGUGCAGAAGGGCAGAGAUUUGAGGAAUGCAACCGAGUCACAUGUAAAAACAAUCAGCUAUCAAUGGAGCCAGAUCAAUGCCCCAGAUAUCUCUCUCUCUCUCUUUCUCUCUCUCUCUCUCUCUCUCUCUCUCUCUCUCUCUCUCUCUCUCUCUCUCACACACACACACACACACACACACACACAC